rfam:Acinetobacter brisouii CIP 110357 genomic scaffold adgTE-supercont2.1, whole genome shotgun sequence.
GAAGUGAGCUGGACGGUCGCUGCUGUGGAGGUCUUCGUGACUGAAGCAGGGGAGGAAAGUCCGGGCUUCAAAGGGCAGGGUGCCAGGUAACGCCUGGGCGGCGCAAGCCGACGGAAAGUGCAGCAGAGAGUAGACCGCCUCAUUCGUGAGGUAAGGGUGAAAGGGUGCGGUAAGAGCGCACCGCGUGUCUGGUAACAGUUCACGGCAUGGCAAACCCCACCAGAAGCAAGACCAAAUAGGAAUCCUGAGGUACGGCCCGUACUGGAUUCGGGUAGGUCGCUUGAGCGUAUGAGUGAUUGUACGCCUAGAGGAAUGAUCGUCCUCGACAGAACCCGGCUUACAGGCUCACUUCCCUU